UACGUAGGGUGCGAGCGUUGCCCGGAUUUAUUGGGCGUAAAGGGCGCGUAGGCGGCCAUGCGUGUCUUCCGUGAAAUCCCUCGGCUUAACCGAGGACGUGCGGAAGAAACUGCAAGGCUCGAGUCCGGAAGAGGGGGGCGGAAUUCCCAGUGUAGCGGUGAAAUGCGUAGAUAUUGGGAGGAACACCAGUGGCGAAGGCGGUCCCCUGGGCCGGAACUGACGCUGAGGCGCGAAAGCGUGGGUAGCAAACGGG
rnacentral:rRNA from 1 species